CUCUCCCCACUUCCUGAAACCAGUAGAUUUCGAUUCCAAAAUGUCGUGAUUGAUCUCUUCUCCUGGGAUGAUUUCGUCGUCGUCGUCUUUUAUCGUCUCGAGGGAUAGGGAUUGGGUUCGAUCGCCUCACCGUGUACGUCACCGUCUUCUCCUCCUCACCGCCGUCCUUGUUCUUAUCCAAAAGCUCCUUCACCGGAUUGCUAACCUCUCCGACGGGCUUAUCGCCGGCGAUGGGACGAUCAGCCACGAUCUCGAUGACUAAGAACCGAACCGAGCCUUCACAUGGAGGUAGAGGGAGAAGAUGAGUUCAGGGAAGAAUAACUUCUUGGGGUUUGAGGAGGUGGUCUUUUUAUUCCCUGGAGGAUGGCCGGAGUCUCGAGAGAUUGCCGGAUUCUAACAAGUGAAUACUCUUCUUCUCUUCUCCUCUCUUACCGUAUGUUUUGUGUAUUGAAUGGUCUCCUUUGAAGAACAUAAUAUUGGCAAAAGUCUAAAUCUUUUGUUAUCAAGUGAAUACUAGUUUUACAUUAAUAUGAAGAAUAAUGAAACUACUUUUAGAUACCAAA